rnacentral:rRNA from 1 species
GACGAACGCUGGCGGCGUGCUUAACACAUGCAAGUCGAACGGAAAGGCCCUGCUUUUGUGGGGUGCUCGAGUGGCGAACGGGUGAGUAACACGUGAGUAACCUGCCCUUGACUUUGGGAUAACUUCAGGAAACUGGGGCUAAUACCGGAUAGGAGCUCCUGCUGCAUGGUGGGGGUUGGAAAGUUUCGGCGGUUGGGGAUGGACUCGCGGCUUAUCAGCUUGUUGGUGGGGUAGUGGCUUACCAAGGCUUUGACGGGUAGCCGGCCUGAGAGGGUGACCGGCCACAUUGGGACUGAGAUACGGCCCAGACUCCUACGGGAGGCAGCAGUGGGGAAUAUUGCACAAUGGGCGGAAGCCUGAUGCAGCAACGCCGCGUGCGGGAUGACGGCCUUCGGGUUGUAAACCGCUUUCGCCUGCGACGAAGCGUGGGUGACGGUAAUGGGUAAAGAAGCACCGGCUAACUACGUG